AGCGAACGCUGGCGGCAGGCUUAACACAUGCAAGUCGAACGGGCACUUCGGUGCUAGUGGCAGACGGGUGAGUAACGCGUGGGAACGUGCCUUUCGGUUCGGAAUAAUCCAGGGAAACUUGGACUAAUACCGGAUACGCCCUUCGGGGGAAAGAUUUAUCGCCGAAAGAUCGGCCCGCGUCUGAUUAACUAGAUGGUGAGGUAAAGGCUCACCAAGGCGACGAUCAGUAGCUGGUCUGAGAGGAUGAACAGCCACAUUGGGACUGAGACCCGGCCCUAACGCCGACGGGAGGCAGCAGUGGGGAAUAUUGGACAAUGGGCGCAAGCCUGACCCAGCCAUGCCGCGUGAGUGAUGAAGGCCUUAGGGUUGUAAAGCUCUUUUGUCCGGGAAGAUAAUGACUGUACCGGAAGAAUAAGCCCCGGCUAACUUCGUGCCAGCCGCCGCCGUAA
rnacentral:rRNA from 1 species